CCGUGGCGGCGUGCCUAUACUGCAAGUCGAACGAACUCUGGUAUUGAUUGGUGCUUGCAUCAUGAUUUACAUUUGAGUGAGUGGCGAACUGGUGAGUAACACGUGGGAAACCUGCCCAGAAGCGGGGGAUAACACCUGGAAACAGAUGCUAAUACCGCAUAACAACUUGGACCGCAUGGUCCGAGUUUGAAAGAUGGCUUCGGCUAUCACUUUUGGAUGGUCCCGCGGCGUAUUAGCUAGAUGGUGAGGUAACGGCUCACCAUGGCAAUGAUACGUAGCCGACCUGAGAGGGUAAUCGGCCACAUUGGGACUGAGACACGGCCCAAACUCCUACGGGAGGCAGCAGUAGGGAAUCUUCCACAAUGGACGAAAGUCUGAUGGAGCAACGCCGCGUGAGUGAAGAAGGGUUUCGGCUCGUAAAACUCUGUUGUUAAAGAAGAACAUAUCUGAGAGUAACUGUUCAGGUAUUGACGGUAUUUAACCAGAAAGCCACGGCUAACUACGUGCCAGCAGCCGCGGUAAUACGUAGGUGGCAAGCGUUGUCCGGAUUUAUUGGGCGUAAAGCGAGCGCAGGCGGUUUUUUAAGUCUGAUGUGAAAGCCUUCGGCUCAACCGAAGAAGUGCAUCGGAAACUGGGAAACUUGAGUGCAGAAGAGGACAGUGGAACUCCAUGUGUAGCGGUGAAAUGCGUAGAUAUAUGGAAGAACACCAGUGGCGAAGGCGGCUGUCUGGUCUGUAACUGACGCUGAGGCUCGAAAGUAUGGGUAGCAAACAGGAUUAGAUACCCUGGUAGUCCAUACCGUAAACGAUGAAUGCUAAGUGUUUGGAGGGUUUCCGCCCUUCAGUGCUGCAGCUAACGCAUUAAGCAUUCCGCCUGGGGGAGUACGGCCGCAAGGCUGAAACUCAAAGGAAUUGACGGGGGCCCGCACAAGCGGUGGAGCAUGUGGGUUUAAUUCGAAGCUACGCGAAGAACCUUACCAGGUCUUGACAUACUAUGCAAAUCUAAGAAAAUUAGACGUUCCCUUCGGGGACAUGGAUACAAGGUGGGGGCAUGGGUUGUCGUCAGCUCCUGUCCUGGAAAAGUUUGGGGUUAAGUCCCCC
rnacentral:rRNA from 2 species